UGCCUGUAAAAUCUUUGAAGGUACCAGUAAAAUGUUUGGAGGUACCAGUAAAAUAUAUGGAGAUACUAGUAAAAUCUUGGAUAGAGGCAAGUUGUGCUAAGACUUCACCAUUUGCUACGAAGAUUUUCCAGUUUUCUAUGUAUCCUGACAUCUUAAAUCACAUUUGGUAUUCCAAAUCAUUUUUGGAUAAAUUUCAAGCUGUUGUUUUAUUAGUUAGGUUGAAACAAAUACCAAAUAAAAAUUUGGUUUUUUGACCUUUCUCUCACAUUUCCUCAAAUAAUGUGUUGUACUGCAGCAAUUUUUAUUAAUGUUUGAAGAUGCUAGCAGCCCUCCUAGUAUUGACCUUUUGAAAUUAUUGAAAAAUAAAGAAAAAUAAAUCUUCCUCCUGGAAAUUCUAAACAGUCUCCUGUUUUCAUGACCUUAUUUGAUGCCUGAUCCUAUUACCUUGCCUGUGAUCAAAAGUCAGGGCUUCCCACUCAGCAGAAAGCAGAUCAUUUAUUUUCUUAGCAGGAGAUUUCUCUCAUGUCAUUAAUGAUUCAUACAGGUCAUGUUUACAAGGGGCAAGAGUUUUCAAGUUUGCUGUAUUAUAAAGCAACAACUUCUAUUUUGUAUAAAUAUAGUGUGUGGGAGCUUAUAUAAGACAAUCAAGAGUGCUAACUUAAAUUCUGUUGUCUUUUUGUUUUAUAGAAUGGGAUGGAAUGAAAGGGGAAAUAUAAGGAAAAGAUGAUAUAAAAUCCUAGGAACAAUAACCUCAUUCAAGUAUCCAUGAAGCUAGCAUGGAGAAUGAGAGACAAUUUUACAUGCUUGAAUAUUCAGAUUGAAGAAUCAGAGUUGGUACCAGACAUUCAAAGGAAACUUGAGAAAAAUAAAGGACUUCAAAGUAUAAUUAUGUUCUUCAUUAGUUUCUUAGUUUUUUAAAUUUAUAUUAUUACCUCCUUUUUGCAAAUUAAAGACAUUUAAUUCAACAACCAUAAUUUAUAGUUCAACAUGCUUUUUCUUGUAGGUCAUACUUUUAACUUGACUUAAUUUUUAUAUUUCAUUGUAAAAUGUACACUACUAAAAAAGAACAAAUUGUUUUAUUGGGAUAAGUUAAUUAAAGCAACAGAAGUAUUCCAUGUGAAAUUAGCCAGAUAUACUUUCAUUCUUGAGCUAAUUGUAAGUGUUGCUAUUGUUGUCAUACAAGAAUUUUAGGCAAUCAGACUAGGAAGGCAUAAUUUAUGAUUGUAUACACAAGGUGGAUUUCAAAUGAGGAAAGAAAAAACCUGCAACCUUUCAUAUCACAGAACAACCAGUUUAUAAUAUAAAAGCCUAAUAAUUCAUCUAUUUUAUCACCUAAUUAUUUUACAAACAGCAAUGUUCCUGUCAUAAUUCAUUACCUCAAAUUGUUCCCUGUGAGAGGGUGCUGGAUGGUGUUAUAUACCAGCUUGCCACAGCAAUAGGAAUCACCUUUUGUCUCAGGCUAUUAAUUAUGGAGCCAAUUAUUGCUUUCUUAAAAAUAUUUUCAAAGACAUAAAAGUGAAAACACUAGAUAAGACAUCUUCAAAGUAAUAUUGAAAUGUUUUCUGAAUACCUAUGUUCCGACGGUAAACAUAUGUGGAGAUGAAUCUGACAUGUUAACUGUUGUUGCCAGCAGAUCACUAGGAGAUACAAUCACAGAGGCAGAACUUCCAAGGACGUGUGAUGAUUUUUGAGGGCCAGAUAAGCCCAAUUAUUGACUGCAAUUGAGCAGCUGCCAAAGGCUUGAUGAUCCUAACAGUUGAGAAUGAAUGUCUAAAGAACAGAUCAGCUGUCCAAUUUUUAACAUCCCUAACAAGAUGCCAUCAUUAGCAGUUAAGCAGACACUGAGAUGCCAGCACCAUGUACUUGG
rnacentral:lncRNA from 1 species